rnacentral:pre_miRNA from 1 species
ACAUGAAUUACCUGGAGACCUUGUUAAAAGGCAGACUUUAAUACGGUAGUUCUUGGGGUUGCCUAAAACUCUGCAUUUCUAGCAAGCUUCCAGGUGAUGCCACA